UCUUCUAUAGACUCUACGCCAUUCGACGAGGCGGAAGAGACAAGAGAGCACCAGGAAUUUGGUUUCCCGGUGAAUAAAUCGGCUGUCUUGAUCUGUUACGGACGCGACGGUGAUUUGGGUUUGAUGCUCUCACAAAGAGCAUCUGCUUUCCUGUAGGAGGAAUAUUAUGGGACAAAAAAAAAGCAUUCAAUCCAACGCCAAAUCUUGCAGAAGUGGAAGCCGUGUUUGAUUCACCAUUCUGAAGUACACUGCUUGCUUUAUCUAGUUGGAAAUUAUCAAGAUGGGUGAUGCUGUGCAAAUCUGAAUCAUUUGACCUGAAACCCAAGGUAUGUUGCGGUGAUGUUGUCAUUUACAGCUGGAGAAAACAAGGAAAAUGAUUAGUGAAUUGCUGUCUUAAACGUGAUCUUUGAAAAUCUGAUACCAAA